GGAGAGGUGGCAGAGUGGCCGAAUGCGCCGGCUUGCUAAGCCGGUGUACCGAUUUCGGUACCGCGGGUUCGAAUCCCGCCCUCUCCGCCA
rnacentral:tRNA from 1 species